GUCAGUUGUACAUGACUUUAAGAUAAGCUUUAAGGCGGGAGCACAGACUUUUGCAUAAGGCAUAAAGCAGGGAGCAUAACGUAACGUUCGUCAACGCACAAACUUGUGCAUAAGACUUUAUAAUAUUCUAACCAUAUAGUUGACCAUCGAAUGCUACACUCUCGCAAUCACAUAAAAUUGAUAUACGGUGAAGUGAAACAUCAAAAGUUUAGGAUAAAAAUUAUAUUAAAAGAUAAUUCAAGACAGUGUCAUCACCACGCGCGUGUCAUAUAAAUGUAAUUAUAGUGGAUGAGUUUCAUAAAUCUCUAUUGAAGACAAUAAUUUACAAAUUUCUUCUUCAAAUUCUUUUGUGCAACUAUAUUCCAAGAAUAAUUGGAUCAGUAGUACCAGUGUUUAAGUUAGUUUAAGAAGAGCCUGGAAGAUUAAGUCUAGAUAUCCUUUCAAUAAUGAUGUUCAACUUCUACAUAAUUGGACAUAAGACAUCAUGGAUGUGAAUUACAUGGAAGAAGAUUUUCUUAUUUUAUCUUUUUUACAAUUGUGCUUAUUGCUGUUAUUAGAAGAAAGGAAUCGAAAAAAGAGAUGGUUAAAUAGGAGAUGGUGGGUGAGACCCAUCAACGUUGCACGUCCUCUGUAUGGGGACUUUGAACAUCUCUUUAACGAAUUGAAAUAUAAUGAUAUCGAUGUAUUUUUUCGAUAUGCAAGAAUGAGGAAAGAAACGUUUAAUCAUUUAUUACAAAUGACAAAGCCUUUUUUAACUAAAUUGAGCAAAAGAGCUUUUAGUCCAGAACAACGAUUGAUCAUAACUCUGAGAUAUUUAGCAACUGGGGAUCAAAUAUUGUCUAUUGCCCUAGCUUUUAGAUGUGGAGAGUCAACAGUCCGAAAAAUUAUUCAUGAAACUUGUUCAGUAAU